GCUUGCUCCUCUGACGUUAGCGGCGGACGGGUGAGUAACACGUGGAUAACCUACCUAUAAGACUGGGAUAACUUCGGGAAACCGGAGCUAAUACCGGAUAAUAUAUUGAACCGCAUGGUUCAAUAGUGAAAGACGGUUUUGCUGUCACUUAUAGAUGGAUCCGCGCCGCAUUAGCUAGUUGGUAAGGUAACGGCUUACCAAGGCAACGAUGCGUAGCCGACCUGAGAGGGUGAUCGGCCACACUGGAACUGAGACACGGUCCAGACUCCUACGGGAGGCAGCAGUAGGGAAUCUUCCGCAAUGGGCGAAAGCCUGACGGAGCAACGCCGCGUGAGUGAUGAAGGUCUUCGGAUCGUAAAACUCUGUUAUUAGGGAAGAACAAAUGUGUAAGUAACUAUGCACGUCUUGACGGUACCUAAUCAGAAAGCCACGGCUAACUACGUGCCAGCAGCCGCGGUAAUACGUAGGUGGCAAGCGUUAUCCGGAAUUAUUGGGCGUAAAGCGCGCGUAGGCGGUUUUUUAAGUCUGAUGUGAAAGCCCACGGCUCAACCGUGGAGGGUCAUUGGAAACUGGAAAACUUGAGUGCAGAAGAGGAAAGUGGAAUUCCAUGUGGUUAGCGGUGA
rnacentral:rRNA from 1 species